rnacentral:lncRNA from 1 species
GCCCACAAAAUCAAACCAACAAAAUCCUACACUAAUUACUCUCUCUCUCUCGCCCUCUCAUUCACUUGCUUGCAUAGUCGCUUCUCCUAAAUUAUUAUUUUUAAAUAUUAUAAUACUGUAUUCAUGUAUUUAUUUUGAUUGUUGAACUAUUCGGCAUGUUUUUAUAUCAAAUUUUAGAUAAUAUCUUAUAAAAAUGAAAAACUUUAAAUAACAUUAAUGUGGUUUCGCGCUUUCUCACUUUAGUACUCCGUGGUUUAAAAUGUAUCACUUUAGUACCGUGUGGUUUCAUUUUCUCUUCCGUUAUUCUCUACAUUAAUUUUUUCGUUAAAUCAGUGAUAAAGUUAAAAUCACAGAAUGCUAAAGUGAAAAUUUGAUAAACCACAGAGUACUAAAGUGCAUAUUUAAUAAACCAUAGGUGAGGUAUUUGAAAUUUUUUUGUAUAUAAAAAAAUGAAACCAACCAUGAAAUACUAAAAUAAUAUACUUUAAACCACAUAGUAUUAAAGUAAAAAAAGGCAAAAUCAUAGGAGUGGUAUUUAAAGUUUACCUUAUAAAAAUUAAAUUGUAAAUUGCCCGAUUUUAAUAAUUUCAAGUGGUUUGUUUUUGGCUCGAAUUCGCUAGACUCG